rnacentral:lncRNA from 1 species
CGCGGGUAUCGCUGCGCUGCUGUUGUGGCUUCUGGUGCUGGUGCCGGCGUGGUGGGGGUAGGGUGGGUGCCGCGCUCAGAUGCGGGGGUCCCUACCUCCCCGGCCCAGGCUGCUCCCAUUGCUGGGGAACUUGCAGCUGCAGUCCGGAGGCCUGGACCGCGCGCUCCAUUCCCGACAGGAAUGGGGGAACGGAAUUCUGGAUUCGUGGAGCCAACAGGAGAAAAGAGCCUAAGAUUCAAAGUCCCAGAGCCAGCCUAGGUCAGGGAUGGAGCCCAGCAAAGGCGGGGCCAAUGUGUGGAUAGGGCACUUGGAGGUCUGGUAAGGCAGCAAAACGAACGAAGCCGGCCGCAGGAGUCGGAGGCCCCGAAAGGGAUGUAGCCAGUGACCCGGCGCUUCCUGGAUGGGGCGUGGCCGGUUCCCGGGCCCGCCUCCUUUCCCGUCCCCACCACAGGAAUCUUGUUUUCUAACCGGCCGUGCUGGUGGACACUGCGCAAUUUUGCACUUGGAGCGCCGAAGAAGUUCGGGUUGGAUACGCGGACCAUCGAGGCGCGUGUCCUGGAUGAGGCGGCUUGUCUGCUAGACGAAUUUCAAGCCACCAUUGCUUCGGCCUGGCCGGGAGAGCGGAAGGGCCUGGUGUGGGAGAGUCCCUUGCACUGCCAAGACGGGGCCACUGGAAGGUAUUUGGGUGGAAGAAAGCCAGUAAGCCCAUGGGGCUGGCUGGGGGCAGGACCACGCGUUAUGACCACCGUCCUGUUCCUACCCCCAGGAGCCCCGUUUGACCCCGUGCGGCUACUGGGUAAUGCUGUAUCCAGUGUUACCUGUUCUUGUCUUCGGGAACCGCUAUGGCUACGGGGACCCGGAGUUCCUGAGGUCCUGAACCUCCUAAGUGACAACUUCCGCAUCAUGAGUUCCAAAUGGGGCGAGGUGAGAGGGCCGGCCACAAUCUCUCCCUUGUGCGUCCAGCCUUAUGCCAAAUCCCGAGUACACAG